CUCAAUUACAUCCUGUACCUGUGUUGCAACUAUCCUUGGUGCCUUCUGCACUUGUGGAAUUGUGCUGGUUGCAAAAGCCCUUUCAGAUCAUCAAAUCCAACCAUUCUCUAACUGUACCAAGGCUGGUGCUGAGCCCUGGCCCUCAGCACCACAGCUCUGCCUCUUGGAAACACCUCCAGGGUUGGGAAUGUAACCACCUCCCUGAAUGCUCUGUGCCAGUGUUUGGAAACCCUUUCAGUGAAGAAGCUUCUUAUGUCCAACCUAAACCUCCCUUGGUGCAACCUGAGGCCAUCUCCUCUGGUCCUGUCACUUGUUCCUUAGGAGUGGAGCCCAACCCCCAGCUUGCUCCAGCCUCCUCUCAGGGAGCUGUAGAGAGCAAUGAGAUCUGCCCUCAGCCUCCUCUUCUCCAGGCUGAACAUUCCUGAGUCCCUCAGCUGCUCCUCCCCAACCCUGUUCUCAGACCCUUCCCCACCUCUUUGUGGAGACACAGGAGCCCUUUUCACAAAGGUGUGCAGCAGGUCAGUCCCCAGGGGCCACUUCAGCUGCUGCAGCGUGUCCAGACCACCAGCUGACUCCUUCCAAAUCUUGCCAGAAGAGGAAGUGGGCAGCAGAGAGGUGAAGAGCAGAGCCUGCUUAAUAAGCUUCUUCCUGUGCCUUGGCUUGGAAGGAGCUUUUUCUUUGGAGGGAGGAGACCGCAGAGUAGCUGGCACUUGGGCAGCUGUGUGCUAUGCCACCUGUGGCAUGUGGCACCCUUCUGGGCAUCUCUGCCACAGGAGCAGGCAGUGAAGUGCUGUCAAAUGAAGGUGUCCUACAUUUAUGCUGGGCUUGCAAACUUGGCCCUGUGGAGAGAAACCUUCUCAGAGGUGUUAGACUUUUAAUUCCCCUUGGGGGAUCCACGCCCUCGUGGGUCACAGCUGUCAAAGUCUCCUCUUCCAGUCCAUGAGCUGCAGACACAGCCACGAGAACCUCUUCCAGACUCAGUGAAUAAACUGAUUUCCUCCAGGAUAUUUAUUCUGCUGGAGUGUAACCUUGGUGUGCAGGGCAGCUUCGUGGGCUGGGCACCAGCAGCAGCUCUGCUCCGCUUCCCCGCGCCGGGCAGCGCCCCUUUGGCACCAGCACUCGCAUACCUGCUGGCCUCUCCUUCGUCACCGCAGCCCAGCCAGGGGGGGUCUCUCUGAAGGCAGGCGGUGAUGGGAAGUCGAGUCCUGGGGCACAGCCUGGAGGAGCCUGGGAAGGCUGUGGGCGAUGUUUCUGCGGCACCACUCAGCGGUGCUUACAAAGCACCUACAAGGAAGAGGGUUGGAAGGCUGCUGAAACCAGACCGCCCUGAGGAGAGCCCCACCUCGGCCUCUGCCUGGGCAGCCUUGGCUGCUGAUGUCUCUCCUGCUCAUCCUUCAAGUGCUCCUUCACUGCAGAUCCCAGAUGGAGUGCGCUUUCCCUGCUGCCUGUGUGGGUUGUGGUUGAAGACGAAGCGUUUAUGGACCCUGGCCUGGCGAGCUGCUGUCUUUCUGUGGCAGUGUCACCCAGUCACAGAAUGGUAGAGGUUGGAAUACACCUUCAGAGAUGAUCAAGCCCCAGAGCAGGGGCAGGUCACACAGGAACAUGUCUGGCAGGGUUCUGAAAGUCUCCAGAGAAGACUCCACAACUUCCCUGUGCAGCCUGCUCCAGGCCUCCAGCACCUCCACAGUGAUGAAGUUUUUCCUUCCCUUGCUUCGUUGUCAGCAGCUCAGCUCGUGGUGAGCUGCUCGGUGAAUCUCCCUCUCCAAACAAGGGGCCCGGAGGCUGGAUGGUCACCCACCGCGUGGAGCAGACCAGCCUCUGCCCCACCUGUUGCUGCUGUGGCCUGCCAGCUUCCCCAGGCCCUGCUGUGGCUGGAGAGGACAGCAGCCAUGGCUUCUGAGAUCUGGUUUCCUUCUGCUCAUCCAGGCUGUGCAGAUGUCAGUGUGAGGGGUGGGGGUGCAUGAGCCUGGAGCCCGGCAGGUGGGAGCAGUUCAGCAUCCACAGUGGCUGCCAGCGCUGACUCUGGGGCCUGAUGAAGCUCUUCCUCGUGCUGGGGCUCUUUGCAGUCAAGUGUGGAAGCCAACUGCCUGCCAGCGUUGUCAGGAGAAGGAAGGGAGCUUGAACCACAGAACUGUUUUCUAGGAACCACUGGGCUGAAGCUGAGGCUCUCUGCAUGCCUGGCAUUCGCGUUUGGGCAGUGCUGGAGAGGGCCAUGGGUAUUUGUGGUCUCUGGAAAAGAUCUGCUCCCAGCCUCCAGCUCUGGAGAGCUUCUGGCUGCUUGGGGAUUCUCUCUGAUGUAGACUUUGGAGGCAAAUCAGUCGGUUGUGAAAUCUGGGAAGGCAGUUUGUGGUCAUCCCUGAGCCAAAAUGACUGUGUCGAGGCGUGGGGGAGGAGCAGAAGGGAUCAGGCUGCGGCAGCACUUGCAGCCUGCUGCUCCAACCCGUGAGCUCCGGAGCUGGGAGCUGCAGGGGCAAGUGGACUCUCGCUCCCCAGGCGCUUCGUGUCCUGUAAAGGUGCAAAGCUCCAGCGUCCUGAAGAGAACAGGAGCAGAAAACCCCUCUGGGCGAUUGUCACUGGUGUGUUCCUGAGCCAGCUGGAGGGGAGGGGGAAUGUCAGACCUCCUCUCGGCAGAACUCUAAAGCCCUUUGCUCU